rnacentral:tRNA from 1 species
CAGGGAGACAAUAUAAUGAUUGUGAUGUCUAUUUAAUUUAUUAUUAGGCCAUAAUCCUGUCACCUUAGGUCGAUCGGUACCUCAGAUUUAUGAAUUAAUUUUUAUAAUUAAUAAUUGAAUUUCAGUUCCUAAACUUGUCUAGGUCACACCCAACAAGGUUUUCUCCUGGGCCAUUAGCUCAGGUGGUUAGAGCGCACCCCUGAUAAGGGUGAGGUCCCUGGUUCAAGUCCAGGAUGGCCCAUUCGUUGUUGGGGGUAUAGCUCAGUUGGUAGAGCGCCUGCUUUGCAAGCAGGAUGUCAGCGGUUCGAGUCCGCUUACCUCCACUGAAAACUACCCUGAUAACUAAACUCAGGCGAAAAAUUGUAACCGUGAUCUAGUUAGUUUAUUUGAAAAGACUCCAGCUUCUUAUCAUCAACUUAAUAGUUGAUAGGAUGCUGGGCUCUCAUGGAGACAAUCUCCAUGUGAUUUCAGUAGAACCUUGACAACUGCAUAGAUGGAAAGAAUAAAGCAUCUCAUGGAUGCAUAAUUCCUAAAUAAAAUUGGUGGUAUAAAAGCUAUUUUUUUUAUUUAUAGAAUUCAUGUUUAAUUCUUGAGUAAAAGCCGAGCACAAUUUAUUUGUGAUUGUGAUUGUAUUUAA